GACGAACGCUGGCGGCGUGCUUAACACAUGCAAGUCGAACGGAAAGGCCCUGCUUUUGUGGGGUGCUCGAGUGGCGAACGGGUGAGUAACACGUGAGUAACCUGCCCUUGACUUUGGGAUAACUUCAGGAAACUGGGGCUAAUACCGGAUAGGAGCUCCUGCUGCAUGGUGGGGGUUGGAAAGUUUCGGCGGUUGGGGAUGGAUUCGCGGCUUACCAGCUUGUUGGUGGGGUAGUGGCUUACCAAGGCUUUGACGGGUAGCCGGCCUGAGAGGGUGACCGGCCACAUUGGGACUGAGAUACGGCCCAGACUCCUACGGGAGGCAGCAGUGGGGAAUAUUGCACAAUGGGCGGAAGCCUGAUGCAGAAACGCCGCGUGCGGGAUGACGGCCCUCGGGUUGUAAACCGCUUUCGCCUGUGACGAAGCGUGAGUGACGGUAAUGGGUAAAGAAGCACCGGCUAACUACGUG
rnacentral:rRNA from 1 species